rnacentral:tRNA from 1 species
UCCCAGGCAGUCCAGUGGAUAAGAUUCUGUGCUUCCACUGCAUAGGCUCAGGUUCCAUCCCUGGUCUGGGAA